UCCUCUUCGUCCUCGAGCCCCACGCCACACUUCUUCCCUCACGGCGCCGUCCAGCCUCCCCUGCUCCUCGACCAUCCGCCUCUCGCGCCGCCGCCUUCUAUUCCGUGCCUCUUCCCCGGCGCCUCGGAGGCGCUCGUCGCUGGACCCUCGCUGCCGGCCUCCUCAUCCUCUUUCUUCCUCGACGAUGUCGCGCUCCUCGCCCGCUGCACCCAGGCCGAACAGGCACCGGUGACACCGUGAGUAGGAGGAGCUCUUCCAGGAUGACGGCAGUCGGAGGAGGAUCCCGGGUCAAGGGCACCCCUGGCCCUGGGACUCGCUGUGAAGAAGCCACCGGACGAGAUGCUCGAGCUGGGCGACGGCCUCCUCUUGUCUGCCUGGGAGAGUCCUCGUUGUUUUGGAUGGGUUGCAACGGCCAGAUGACCAAGGCUGCAGAUGUGACCACCACCUGUUUGUAUAAAUGCUUAAGGAGGACUGCUCAGGGGAGGACAACAUGUAUGUUUGAAAGAGAGGGAUGUAAAAGAGGGGGCUGGAGUAAGAGGAGAAGAGGAAGGAAUGGAACCACUUGAUGUCUCUUUGUCAUCGACGCCAUCCCGCCAUUACGGAGAUUUUCUUAGACGACGAUGGGACGAAGAGCAUAAUUGGUUUGAUGCCAAAAGUUGGCAUGCCAAAUUUUGGCAACUGCCAAAUAUUGGCUAGAGAUUGGAUGCUUGCCAAUUCUUGUUGCCAAUCUCACAAAAAGUUGCCAAAAGUUGGCAACUUUUGUUUUUGCCAAAUGUUGGCUUACCAAAUAUUGGCAAUGCCAAAUGUUGGUAGCAAACCAAUUAUGCUCCAAUACUCUCGCUCCUUGUGCUCCAUAUCUGUUGGUUGUGCAGGACGUUGUGCUAAUUUCCUUGAUGCUUCAUCAGGUUUUGGAAGAGUCGGUCUAAGGGGUGAUUGUGCUCAGGAACUUUGAUUGUUCUGUCAACAGGAGGAAAGUCAAGCCCCGGUAUCGACCAGAUUCAUGCCCCGUGUGUUUAGAUGAUCUGGUCAGUUCUUGCGAUUUGCUAAUAUUGGAUUACCAAGGCGGGGAUUGACCCUCGUGUUGCUAUAUUGGCUGUUGACAUUGCUCCGAGGUUUAGUCAACCAAGGGAGUGCAGUUGCAACGCUGGAAAACUUGCAAGGCACAGAAGGAAGAUCCAUCAACUAUGUAGUUCAAUAGGUAAAUCAAUUUCACACUGGUGAGAACUCCAAAACUUUGCUUUCCCCUUGACACAACUUCGAUUUUGCUUCUCCUAUUUAUCUCAUGUUGUGCUUUUUAUUUUUUUACUUUUACCCUCUAUAUCCAAAUUCAGUAGCGUACCAAAUUGGAAUAACAUUCCUUCACUCGUGGUCGUACCGUAAUGUUUGCCUUUCCCAGUCAGCAAGAACCAUCUAGCACUAAUGCUUGUUCUUACAUUUGGUGGCACUGCUUCAGUGGAUGUCAUGAUAUAAUCCAUUUUAAGUGCAGCUCACUACAAAUUAGAAAGUGUUUGAUCUUACAUACUCCCUCCGUUCGGAAUUACUUGUCCAAGAAAUGAAUGUAUCUAUAUGUAUUUUAGUUGUAGAUACAUCCAUUUUUGUGACAAGUAAUUCCGAACGGAGGGAGUAUAUUUUUAAUUGCAACACCGUCAGUUCCAACCAUGGACAUGUCAUCAGGGUAACCGACUGCUAGGUCCCAGUGUUUUCGAUAUACUGGUUACUUUUCGUUGACGAAGGGACUGAUAGCUAACCCGUGCUAUUUUCUGAACAUCAUAUGUGGAAAUAAAUUUAUGUGACAAGUCAGUAUCUUUGUGAGAUAGGAAAAACAGAUGCCCAUAAUCUUUACUUCUUGCUAUAAAAUAAAAAAAUCUGCAAUAAAUUAAAUAGUCAGCGUAGAAAGUUGGCUGGGAACUCCUAAAAUUAGUUUGCAGUGAGAAUGAUUAUAGGGAUAGGAUAAAAGAAGGAAAACAUGAACCCAACCUACAUAAGAAAUCAACAUUUUCAGUUAUCUUGUGACUGUUGCUAAAAUAGUUCACCUGAUUCCAGUUCUAAAUAUAACUAUAACUCAUAGUUGAGCUAAAGUUGUACCCACUAAGUCUGGUGAUAGGGCUCGGGCGACCUAGCCGCCGCCGCCCCCGCUCCCCUUUACUCCCUCGCUCCACCCGCCACCGCCGGAGGAGGCCGACGAGCAAAGCCCACUCGGUGGAUGGCGGUGGUGGGGCACCCUCGUCGCGCGCCGCAAGUCUUCGGCCCUGGACGAAGGCCUGCAUCCGGCGGCGGCUGCGUCUGGCCAGGCGCGGGCAAGCCGGGGUGGCGGCCCUGGGCUCGGCGGCGGCGCUGUUUCCUCCUCUCCCUCGUCGGGAGAGUGGGGGGCGGCGCUGAGGCUGGCCAUCGUCGAUCUGGUGCGGCGCAUCUGGUGGUGUGCGGCGUGCCUGUGGGUUCGGCCGUGAGGACGGCGAGCCGUAGGCGUGCCAGAUCUGGAGUAUCAACAUGCCUCCUUGAGACUCAAAACCACAGAGGACAGAGACUAGCAAGGAAUUAGCCCCGGGAUUGUGUAGCUGCCAUGCAAAAAAGGAGAAGGAGAAGUGAUAUCGUGGGGCUGGAUUUGUGUGUCUUUAUAAAGGAUGCGGGAUUGCUGCUAAUGCAUCCAUAAUUAAGGAUAAUAUUUGCACAAUUAAGGAAGGAUUGCUGCAAGCCGGUCCUGUCAUCCCGGCCGGGUUGCCUCCGCCGGUUGGCCAUGAGGGGUUUGCGUGCCCGGAAGAAGUUCCUCGCGAUGUGACAGCAAGCGAGCCGGUUGGUGCGCGACACAGAAUCAGAAUCCGCCCUAUGCCAACCAAGGAUAAAAUGAAAGUAAAUUGCUGGAAGGGAAGGGAGAAUAAGUUCCCCUAUUAUGACACAGAAUAAGAAUCUGGCCUAGGCCACGAACACUUUGUAAUUUAAAGAGCGAUCGAAUUUUGACUUGUACAUUUUCUUAUGAAUA